AGUUUAAAUGAUGUUUUCAUCUUUCGGGUCUGAUUAACAUUGAUGACAAUAUACCUUACUGAUAAAUU